CAGGAGCAUCGCUGGGUAGCCAUGUCUGGCAGAGAUAACCGCUGAAAGCAUCUAAGUGGGAAACUCGCCCUAAGAUUAGAUCCCUGUGACCCGUAAGGGUGUAAGACCCCAGAUAGACUAUCUGGUUGAUAGGCAGUAUGUGUAAGCACAGUAAUGUGUUAAGCUAAGCUGUACUAAUGGUCGAGGGCUUCCUUUA
rnacentral:rRNA from 1 species